rnacentral:rRNA from 1 species
AUUGAACGCUGGCGGCAGGCUUAACACAUGCAAGUCGAGCGAGCGGCGGACGGGUGAGUAAUGUCUGUGAAACUGUCUGAUGGAGGGGGAUAACUACUGGAAACGGUAGCUAAUACCGCAUACCAUCAGAUGUGCCCCGAUGGGAUUAGCUAGUGGGUGGGGUAAUGGCUCACCUAGGCGACGAUCCCUAUCUGGUCUGAGAGGAUGACCAGCCACACUGGAACGAAGACACGGUCCAGAAACCUACAGGAGGAAGCAGUGGGGAAUAUUGCACAAUGGGCGCAAGCCUGAUACAGCCAUGCCGCGUGUGUGAAGAAGGCCGUCGGGUUGUAAAGCACUUUCAGCGAGGAGGCGUUACUCGCAGAAGAAGAACCGGCUAACUCCGUGCCAGCCGCCGAGGUAAUAC